AUGGAUAUCAGAUACAAGUAUUUCAGAGCCAGGAGGGAGGUUAAGGGGAACCACUGUGUGUACACUUUCGGCUCCGGGACCAAGGUGGAGAUCAAACGAUCUCAGGCUCAGCCAUCUGCCUACAUCUUCCCACCGUCUCAGGAGCAGUUGCAGUCUGGAAGUGCCACUCUCGUGUGCAUACUAAACGGCUUCUACCCCAAAGAUAUCAACGUCAACUGGAAGGUGGAUGGUACUCUCCGGACGGAUGAUGUCCAGAACAGUCUCACAGAGCAGGACAGCAAGGACAACACCUAUAGCCUCAGCAGCACCCUGACAUUGCCCACUACUGAGUACAACCUGCACAGUUUCUUUACCUGCGAGGUCACUCAUGAGAGCCUGGGCUCGCCCCUCACCAAGAGCUUCAGUAGGCAAGAGUGUUAGAGGCAGAGGCCUCCCAGGCCCAGCCUGGGUCCCUCCCCUCCUCAGGCCAUGGGCUGUUUUCCCACAAGGGACCUACCCCUAGUGCACUCCUCCAGCCCCUCUCCCUGCCUCAGCCCCUCUCCUCCUCCUUGGCUUCAA